rnacentral:rRNA from 1 species
AUGGUCAAGCUACAAAGGGCACAGAGUGAAUGCCUUGGCACCAGGAGCCGAAGAAAGACGUGAUAAGCUGCGAAAAGCUGCGGGGAGCUGCAAAUAAGCUAUGAUCCGCAGAUAUCUGAAUGGAGCAAUCCGGCGGAUGUAACGGUCCGUCAUGGCGUACUGAAUUCAUAGGUACGUCAGGGGAACCGCCUGAACUGAAACAUCUAAGUAGGGCGAGGAAGAGAAAUCAACAGAGAUUCCGCAAGUAGUGGCGAGCGAACGCGGAAGAGGGCAAACCGGGAUCAGAAAUGAUGCCGGGGUUGAGGACUGCAUUUAGCAUUGAGGUAACCUAGAAGAACUGCAUGGGAAGGCAGGCCGAAGAGUGUGAGAGCCACGUAUUCGAAAGGUGAAGACAGCGAGCAGUAUCCAGAGUACCGCGGGACACGUGAAACCCCGUGGGAAGCCGGGGGGACCACCCUCCAACCCUAAAUACUCCCUGGUGACCGAUAGAGCAGAGUACUGUGAAGGAAAGGUGAAAAGGACCCCGGGAGGGGAGUGAAAGAGAACCUGAAACUCUGCGCCUACAAGCACAUAGAGCACGUCAAAGUGUGAUAUGGUACCUUUUGUAGAAUGGUCCGGCGAGCGUACGCAUGUAGCAAGGUUAAGCACUUCAGGUGCGGAGCCGAAGGGAAACCGAGUCUGAAUAGGGCGAGUGAGUUUCAUGCGUAGGGCCCGAAACCGGGUGACCUAUCCAUGUCCAGGUUGAAGUGGGAGUAAAAUCCCAUGGAGGACCGAACCGACCUCCGUUGAAAAGGCGGCGGAUGAGGUGUGGAUAGCGGAGAAAUUCCAAUCGAACCCGGAGAUAGCUGGUUCUCCCCGAAAUAGCUUUAGGGCUAGCGUUGUAUUAGAUUACCGGAGGUAAAGCACUGAAUAGGCUAGGGGCCGAGAGGUUACUGAACCUUAUCAAACUCUGAAUGCCGGAUAAUUGAUGUACAGCAGUCAGACUACGUGAGAUAAGUCUCGUGGUCAAAAGGGAAAAAGCCCAGACCCACAGCUAAGGUCCCAAAUACACGUUAAGUGGAGAAGGAUGUGGAGUUGCGAAGACAACCAGGAUGUUGGCUUAGAAGCAGCCACUCAUUUAAAGAGUGCGUAAUAGCUCACUGGUCGAGUGACUCUGCGCCGAAAAUGUAACGGGGCUAAACGUGUAACCGAAGCUUGGGAUUCCGCAAGGAAUGGUAGGGGAGCGUCGUAUAUGGGGUGAAGUAUGAGCGUAAGCGCAUGUGGACUGUAUACGAGUGAGAAUGCCGGAAUGAGUAGCGAGAAUUAUGUGAGAAUCAUAAUGGCCGAAAGUCUAAGGUUUCUGGAGGAAGGUUCGUCCGCUCCAGGUUAGCCGGGAGCUAAGGUGAGGCCGAAAGGCGUAGCCGAUGCACAUACGGUAGAGAUUCCGUAGCUGCCGAAAGAUUUAAGCAGGAGGACACUGUAGAAGGGUAUGACCCGGGCGUUGGUUGCCCCGGGCGAAAGGGACCGAAACAUAGUAGGGAAGCAUACUUGGAUACAGGCGAGAAAAGCCCUGUGGAUAUCUCAGGCACCCGUACCGCAAACCGACACAGGUAGACAGGAAGAGGAUUCUAAGGCCAACGGGAGAAGGGUUGUUAAGGAACUCGGCAAGUUGACCCCGUAACUUAGGGAAAAGGGGUGCUCACGAGAGUGAGCCGCAGAGAAUAGGUCCAGGCGACUGUUUAGCAAAAACACAGCUCUAUGCUAAAUCGAAAGAUGACGUAUAUGGGGUGACACCUGCCCGGUGCCGGAAGGUUAAGAGGAGGAGUGAGAGCUCUGAAUUGAAGCCCCGGUAAACGGCGGCCGUAACUAUAACGGUCCUAAGGUAGCGAAAUUCCUUGUCAGGUAAGUUCUGACCCGCACGAAUGGUGUAACGAUCUGGACACUGUCUCAACAGCCCGCCCGGCGAAAUUGUAGUACCGGUGAAGAUGCCGGUUACCCGCGACAAGACGGAAAGACCCCAUGGAGCUUUACUGUAGCUUAAUAUUGGAUUUCGGUAUUUCAUGUACAGGAUAGGUGGGAGGCAGAGAAGCGAAUACGCCAGUAUUCGUGGAGCCGACGUUGGGAUACCACUCUUGAGGUACUGGAAUUCUAACCUGCGGCCGUGAAACCGGUCGGGGGACAUUGUUAGGUGGGCAGUUUGACUGGGGCGGUCGCCUCCAAAAAGGUAACGGAGGCGCUCAAAGGUUCGCUCAGCAUGGACGGAAACCAUGCCUUUGAGUGUAAACGCAAAAGCGAGCCUAACUGCGAGAGGGACGUCUCGAGCAGUAACGAAAGUUGGAGUUAGUGAUCCGGUGGUAUGUGAGUGGAAAUGCCAUCGCUCAACGGAUAAAAGCUACCCUGGGGAUAACAGGCUGAUCUCCCCCAAGAGUCCACAUCGUCGGGGAGGUUUGGCACCUCGAUGUCGGCUCAUCGCAUCCUGGGGCUGAAUUCGGUCCCAAGGGUUUGGCUGUUCGCCAAUUAAAGCGGUACGCGAGCUGGGUUCAGAACGUCGUGAGACAGUUCGGUCCCUAUCUGUCGUGGGCGCAGGAUAUUUGAGAGGAGCUGUCCCUAGUACGAGAGGACCGGGAUGGACGCACCUCUGGUGCACCAGUUGUCUUGCCAAAGGCAUAGCUGGGCAGCUAAGUGCGGAUCGGAUAAACGCUGAAGGCAUCUAAGCGUGAAGCCGGCCUCAAGAUAAGAUAUGCCACUGCAUAAGCAGGUAAGACCCCUUGAAGACUACAAGGUAGAUAGGCCACAUGUGGAAGCGUCGUGAGGCGUGCAGCAAGGUGGUACUAAUCGGUCGAGGGCUUGACCAAG